UAGGGAAUCUUCCACAAUGGACGCAAGUCUGAUGGAGCAACGCCGCGUGAGUGAAGAAGGUCUUCGGAUCGUAAAACUCUGUUGUUAGAGAAGAACACGAGUGAGAGUAACUGUUCAUUCGAUGACGGUAUCUAACCAGCAAGUCACGGCUAACUACGUGCCAGCAGCCGCGGUAAUACGUAGGUGGCAAGCGUUGUCCGGAUUUAUUGGGCGUAAAGGGAACGCAGGCGGUCUUUUAAGUCUGAUGUGAAAGCCUUCGGCUUAACCGGAGUAGUGCAUUGGAAACUGGAAGACUUGAGUGCAGAAGAGGAGAGUGGAACUCCAUGUGUAGCGGUGAAAUGCGUAGAUAUAUGGAAGAACACCAGUGGCGAAAGCGGCUCUCUGGUCUGUAACUGACGCUGAGGUUCGAAAGCGUGGGUAGCAAACAGGAUUAGAUACCCUGGUAGUCCACGCCGUAAACGAUGAAUGCUAGGUGUUGGAGGGUUUCCACCCUUCAGUGCCGCGGCUAACGUAAUAAGCAUUCCGCCUGGGGAGUACGACCGCAAGGUUA
rnacentral:rRNA from 1 species